GCCGGAAUAGUUUUAAUUGGUUAAAACGAAUUUCUUGUAAAAAUUUGUUAUUGGUUCGAAUCCAAUUUUUGGCU
rnacentral:tRNA from 1 species